AUCGCUUCUCGGCCUUUUGGCUAAGAUCAAAGUGUAGUAUCUGUUCUUAUCAGCUUAAUAUCUGAUACGGGUCCUAUUUGGACCCAAGAUAUUAAUCUUAUUUUUGGAAUGCGGCGUAGUGCUUGAGGUUUACCUCACCUAUGCCACGGGUUGGCCUGGUAUUGCACUGCCUCCAGGAUCGGCCCACCCCCC
rfam:Ixodes scapularis strain Wikel colony gcontig_1108378670912, whole genome shotgun sequence.